rnacentral:RNase_P_RNA from 1 species
ACUAGUUUUUUACGACUCGAAUUAAUAUGCGUUUGAGGAAAGUCCGGGCUUCGCAGGGCAGGAUGCCGGAUAACGUCCGGUGGAGGCAACUCUAAGGAAAGUGCAACAGAAAGUAUACUACCAUAUGUAUAUAUGGAAAAGGUGAAAUGGCAGUGUAAGAGACUACCGCUUAUCUGGUAACAGAUAGGGCAUUGUAAACCCCAUCCGAAGCAACUCGAAUAUGAGUAGAUACGGCGGCCCGUCGUUACUCAUGGUAUGAGGCUUGAGACAAUUGGCGACAGUUGUAAUAGAUAGAUGAUCACUCUAGACAGAACCCGGCUUAUU